UGCCGUUUCUUGUACAGUGGGAUCC
rnacentral:piRNA from 1 species